rnacentral:rRNA from 1 species
GAGUUUGAUCGUGGCUCAGAUUGAACGCUGGCGGCAUGCCUUACACAUGCAAGUCGAACGGCAGCAUGAUCUAGCUUGCUAGAUUGAUGGCGAGUGGCGAACGGGUGAGUAAUACAUCGGAACGUGCCCUGUAGUGGGGGAUAACUAGUCGAAAGAUUAGCUAAUACCGCAUACGACCUGAGGGUGAAAGUGGGGGACCGCAAGGCCUCAUGCUAUAGGAGCGGCCGAUGUCUGAUUAGCUAGUUGGUGGGGUAAAGGCCCACCAAGGCGACGAUCAGUAGCUGGUCUGAGAGGACGAUCAGCCACACUGGGACUGAGACACGGCCCAGACUCCUACGGGAGGCAGCAGUGGGAAGUUUUGGACAAUGGGCGAAAGCCUGAUCCAGCAAUGCCGCGUGUGUGAAGAAGGCC